rnacentral:rRNA from 1 species
GGCGCGUGCGAUCCGGUCUGCCGCGAGGCGUGCACUGGUCGCGUGUGCCUUCCUUCUGGGGCGCGCGCGUGCCCUUUGGUGGGUGUGCGCGUGGCUCAGGACGUUUACUGUGAAAAAAUUAGAGUGUUUAAAGCAGGCCUGUGCUUGGAUACAUUAGCAUGGAAUAAUGAAGUAGGACUUUGGUCCUGUUUUGUUGGUUUCUUGGACCGAGGUA